rnacentral:rRNA from 1 species
CAGUCGCCGCGGUAAUACAGAGGGUGCGAGCGUUAAUCGGAUUUACUGGGCGUAAAGCGUGCGUAGGCGGCUUCUUAAGUCGGAUGUGAAAUCCCUGAGCUUAACUUAGGAAUUGCAUUCGAUACUGGGAAGCUAGAGUAUGGGAGAGGAUGGUGGAAUUCCAGGUGUAGCGGUGAAAUGCGUAGAGAUCUGGAGGAAUACCGAUGGCGAAGGCAGCCAUCUGGCCUAAUACUGACGCUGAGGUACGAAAGCAUGGGGAGCAAACAGGAUUAGAUACCCCAGUAGUCCCUGUCUCUUAUAA